AUUGAACGCUAGCGGCAUGCCUUACACAUGCAAGUCGAACGGCAGCACGGACUUCGGUCUGGUGGCGAGUGGCGAACGGGUGAGUAAAGUAUCGGAACGUGCCCAGUAGCGGGGGAUAACUACGCGAAAGCGUAGCUAAUACCGCAUACGCCCUACGGGGGAAAGGGGGGGAUCGCAAGACCCCUCACUAUUGGAGCGGCCGAUAUCGGAUUAGCUAGUUGGUGGGGUAAAGGCUCAACAAGGCGACGAUCCGUAGCUGGUUUGAGAGGACGACCAGCCACACUGGGACUGAGACACGGCCCAGACUCCUACGGGAGGCAGCAGUGGGGAAUUUUGGACAAUGGGGGAAACCCUGAUCCAGCCAUGCCGCGUGUGUGAAGAAGGCCUUCGGGUUGUAAAGCACUUUUGGCAGGAAAGAAACGGCCCUGGAUAAUACCUGGGGUAACUGACGGUACCUGCAGAAUAAGCACCGGCUAACUACGUGCCAGCCGCCGCCGUAAGAC
rnacentral:rRNA from 1 species